rnacentral:rRNA from 1 species
GACGAACGCUGGCGGCGUGCUUAACACAUGCAAGUCGAACGAGUGGCGAAAGGGUGAGUAACACGUGGGUGAUCGGCAUUGCACUUGGGGAUAAGCUUGGGAAACUGGGUCUAAUACCGGAUAGUGCAAGAUGAGCACGCGGCCUAUAAGCUUGUUGGUGGGGUAAUGGCUACCAAGGAGCGAAGGGUAGCCGGCCUGAGAGGGUGUACGGCCACAUUGGGACUGGGCUACGGCCCAGACUCCUACGGGAGGCAGCAGUGGGGAAUAUUGCACAAUGGGCGGAAGCCUGAUGCAGCGACGCCGCGUGGGGGAUGAAGGCCUUCGGGUUGGAAACUCCUUUCGUCAGGGACGCGGUACCUGUAUAAGAAGCACCGGCUAACUACGUGCCAGCAGCCGCGGUAAUAC